rnacentral:lncRNA from 10 species
UUUUUUUUUUGGAGAUAGUCUCCAUGGCCCAGGCUGGAGUGCAGUGGUGUAAUCUCAGCUCACUGCAGCUGCCUCCUCCUGGAUUCAAGCAAUUCUCGGGCUUCCCCUCUCUAGUAGAUGGGACUACAGGCAUGCACCACCACACCUGGCCGAUUUUUGUACUUUUUGUAGAGAUGGGGUUUUUGCCAUGUUGGCCAGGCUGGUCUCGAACUCCCGGGCUCAAGUGAUCCUCCUGCCUCAGCCUCCCAAAGUGCUGGGAUUACAGCCACUGCACCUGGCCUCCCAUUUCAAUUUGUUAAUGCAGCAGACCAACCCAUAAGGGGAGGGGCAUCUAUUGAAGCAUUGAACAUUUUUGCGCUCCACACCUUGCCUGUCUAGAAAGAUUGAGGGAGACCAGUCAGAAAUUGAGCAUUGGGCCUGCUAACUGGGGGUUCCUUGACGUCUGAAAGCCAAGCCAAGCCUCCUGGUCUUGUUUAGGGGGAGGUCCCCAAGCAUUCCCUGCCCCAGUCCUUUGUGAGAUUUGCAUCUGACUGCAAAGGAUGGAAGAAAACCAGGGCAAUUAGGUGAGUGUUGCCUAAAUUAAUCUGCCCAUUAAAAUAUUCUAAAGAGCAUUUCCUUCCUUUUUGGAGGAUGAGGACUUCUACUUAUCUGACAGCAAUUCUAGUGUGUUUUUAACAUUUUAAUAUGAAGAGUUUCCAAAACUUGGAAAGAAUCGGAUUUGGAAAGAAUCGGAUGGUGAACCCUCAGACCUACCGUCUAGAUUCUAUGAUCAUGUUAAGUUUUUCUCAUAAGAGAUGGCAUGAAAACUUUGUCUAAGCAAAAUAAAGUGGAGA